rnacentral:rRNA from 1 species
AACGAACGCUGGCGGCAGGCUUAACACAUGCAAGUCGAACGCCCCGCAAGGGGAGUGGCAGACGGGUGAGUAACGCGUGGGAACGUACCCUUUGGUUCGGAAUAACUCAGGGAAACUUGAGCUAAUACCGGAUAAGUCCGCAAGGAGAAAGAUUUAUCGCCAAUGGAUCGGCCCGCGUCGGAUUAGCUAGUUGGUGGGGUAAUGGCCCACCAAGGCGACGAUCCGUAGCUGGUCUGAGAGGAUGAUCAGCCACACUGGGACUGAGACACGGCCCAGACUCCUACGGGAGGCAGCAGUGGGGAAUAUUAGACAAUGGGCGCAACCCUGAUCCAGCCAUGCCGCGUGAGUGAUGAAGGCCUUAGGGUUGUAAAGCUCUUUCAGCUGGGAAGAUAAUGACGGUACCAGCAGAAGAAGCCCCGGCUAACUCCGUGCCAGCAGCCGCAGUAAAAC